rnacentral:rRNA from 1 species
CUGUACCCUAAGAAUAAGGUCCGGCUAACUUCGUGCCAGCAGCCGCGGUAAUACGAAGGGACCUAGCGUAGUUCGGAAUUACUGGGCGUAAAGCGCGCGUAGGCCGUUGAGUUAGUUAAUUGUGAAAUCCCAAAGCUUAACUUUGGAACUGCAAUUAAAACUGCUCGACUAGAGUUUGAUAGAGGAAAGCGGAAUACAUAGUGUAGAGGUGAAAUUCGUAGAUAUUAUGUAGAACACCAGUUGCGAAGGCGGCUUUCUGGAUCAACACUGACGCUGAGGCGCGAAAGUAUGGGUAGCAAAGAGGAUUAGAUACCCUCGUAGUCCAUACCAUAAACGAUGAUUGCUAGAUGUUGGAAAUUUAUUUUCAGUAUCGCAGCUAACGCAUUAAGCAAUCCGCCUGGGGAGUACGACCGCAAGGUUAAAACUCAAAUGAAUUGACGGGGACCCGCACAAGCGGUGGAGCAUGUGGUUUAAUUCGAAGAUACGCGCAGAACCUUACCAACCCUUGACAUGUCUGUCGCGAGUUUAGGAAACUAGACUUUUCGGUUCGGCCGGACAGAACACAGGUGCUGCAUGGCUGUCGUCAGC